GAUGAACGCUGGCGGCGUGCCUAAUACAUGCAAGUCGAGCGAACAGACGAGGAGCUUGCUCCUCUGACGUUAGCGGCGGACGGGUGAGUAACACGUGGAUAACCUACCUAUAAGACUGGGAUAACUUCGGGAAACUGGAGCUAAUACCGGACAAUAUAUUGAACCGCAUGGUUCAAUAGUGAAAGACGGUUUUGCUGUCACUUAUAGAUGGAUCCGCGCCGCAUUAGCUAGUUGGUAAGGUAACGGCUUACCAAGGCAACGAUGCGUAGCCGACCUGAGAGGGUGAUCGGCCACACUGGAACUGAGACACGGUCCAGACUCCUACGGGAGGCAGCAGUAGGGAAUCUUCCGCAAUGGGCGAAAGCCUGACGGAGCAACGCCGCGUGAGUGAUGAAGGUCUUCGGAUCGUAAAACUCUGUUAUUAGGGAAGAACAAAUGUGUAAGUAACUAUGCACGUCUUGACGGUACCUAAUCAGAAAGCCACGGCUAACUACGUG
rnacentral:rRNA from 1 species